GCCAGUGUGGCAAAGUGGUUUUAAGUGUUGGACUGUGACUCUGGAGACCAGGGUUCAAUUCCCAGUUCAGCCA